UCAACGGGAACUUCAGAUUCCAGAACUGCAAGGAUGCAAACUGACAGUUUUUUGCUGUUGAAGUAUUGUCCGGUAGGAGAUACCGGUUCGAAUCCAUCAUUUUCCUGCAGCUUGUGAAGGUGAGAAGUGGAACAACGUUAGUGGAAUUUAUAGGACGAACGCUUGAAAGGAAUGUGGAAAAUAAAGGUGCUUGUUUCGCUGCUUACGAAUGUAGAAAAGGUGUUUAUUUCACUGCUUAUGGUCAUGAAUUUAUUAGUAUCUCAAUAAAUCAUGGAGUGCAUAAUUUUCUUUGAAUUCAACAUCGUGCAUGUAAAUACUAUUAAUUUCAACAACUAACUACCACGAUUAAUUUGUUA